rnacentral:sRNA from 2 species
UAACUGGUAGAGAACGUGAAGGAUAACGUUGCUUUAGCAACGGCCCGAAGGGCGAGGCGAAGCCGAGUCAUCCUGCACGACCCACCA